rnacentral:lncRNA from 10 species
AAAAAUACCACAAGCUUUAUCAAAACAAGACUUUAAAAAGUAUACACAGAACUGUCUAAAAAAUUUUCAUUCCUAAUUCUUUAUUUAAAUAAAUACAGUACUACUCCUUUAAAGACAAAUUGUGAAGGGAAGAAAAUCACCACUGUAAUUUCACCACCUUUGCUACUGUUUUUAUUUAUCUUCUCUUGGCUCACAUGCCUACACAUUUUGCAUUGUUGCAGUCAUGGUGUGUAUCAUUUUAUCUCCACCUUUGCAUGAAAUUUUGGAGAAACAAUUGUUCCAAUGAAAUUAUUAGAUGUUAGUAAAAGUUUAAUGGCUGGUACAUAUUUCACCGAUUUGUUGUAAGUAUAGUUUAUUUCCUUCUAACUUUUUUACUACUAUAAAUGCCACUGUAAUUUAUAUCACGUGAGCUGUUUCUUUAGACAAUAUCAUGAAGAAUAGAUUUAAUGAAGCAAGUUAUGAAUGGUUUAUAUGAUGUGUUUUAACUUGUUUUCUUGCUUGUGCAAAGGCUAUACCAAUGUACAAUGCCACCAGCAAUGUAUGGAGUUCAUUUUAAAACACCCUUUUGCCACCAUUGAAUAUUACCAAUUUAGUUUUUGUCCUCCAUUUUGUUUAUUUUAUUUGUAUAACAUGGUAUAUUUGUUUUAAUUUGAAUUUCUUUAAAUAACUGUGAAGGUAAACAUUUAUAGUUGUUUAUUCCCCAUGUAUGAAUUAUCUACUUGUGUCUUAUGUUCAUAUAUUUGGUGUUUUGAAAUUUUAUACGUGAGAAUUAGAUAUCCCUUAUAAUUGUUAGAAAUCCUUUAACACAUUUCUGCAAUUUUUUCAAUUAUAUUGUUAUGUUUAC